rnacentral:rRNA from 1 species
CCUACGGGGUGCUGCAGUGGGGAAUAUUGCACAAUGGGGGAAACCCUGAUGCAGCGACGCCGCGUGAGUGAAGAAGUAUCUCGGUGCGUAAAGCUCUAUCAGCAGGGAAGAUAAUGACGGUACCUGACCAAGAAGCCCCGGCUAACUACGUGCCAGCAGCCGCGGUAAUACGUAGGGGGCAAGCGUUAUCCGGAUUUACUGGGUGUAAAGGGAGCGUAGACGGCAGCACAAGUCUGGAGUGAAAGGCGGGGGCCCAACCCCCGGACUGCUUUGGAAACUGGAUGGCUGGAGUGCAGGAGAGGCAGGCGGAAUUCCUAGUGUAGCGGUGAAAUGCGUAGAUAUUAGGAGGAACACCGGUGGCGAAGGCGGCCUGCUGGACUGUGACUGACGUUGAGGCCCGAAGGCGUGGGGAGCAAACAGGAUUAGAUACCCCAGUAGUC